rnacentral:rRNA from 1 species
UGAGUAACACGUAUCCAACCUGCCGUCUACUCUUGGACAGCCUUCUGAAAGGAAGAUUAAUCCAGGAUGGCAUCAUGAGUUCACAUGUCCGCAUGAUUAAAGGUAUUUCCGGUAGACGAUGGGGAUGCGUUCCAUUAGAUAGUAGGCGGGGUAACGGCCCACCUAGUCGACGAUGGAUAGGGGUUCUGAGAGGAAGGUCCCCCACAUUGGAACUGAGACACGGUCCAA